GACGAACGCUGGCGGCGUGCUUAACACAUGCAAGUCGAACGAUGAAGCUGGAGCUUGCUCCGGUGGAUUAGUGGCGAACGGGUGAGUAACACGUGAGCAAUCUGCCCUUGACUCUGGGAUAACUGCGGGAAACUGUAGCUAAUACCGGAUACUUUCACUGGAAGGCAUCUUCUGGUGAAGAAAGAAUUUCGGUCAAGGAUGAGCUCGCGGCCUAUCAGCUUGUUGGUGAGGUAACGGCUCACCAAGGCGACGACGGGUAGCCGGCCUGCGAGGGGGACCGGCCACACUGGGACUGGGAUACGGCCCAGACUCCUACGGGAGGCAGCAGUGGGGAAUAUUGCACAAUGGGCGCAAGCCUGAUGCAGCGACGCCGCGUGAGGGAUGACGGCCUUCGGGUUGUAAACCUCUUUCAGCACCGACGAAGCGCAAGUGACGGUAGGUGCAGAAGAAGGACCGGCCAACUACGUGCCAGCCGCCGCGGUAA
rnacentral:rRNA from 1 species